GCAACAAUUUUAUACCUUCUUUUUUUUUUUUUUUUUUUUUCUAUGCCACAGAACUGUUCUUUUUUUUUUUUCUAUGCCACAGAAUUGUGUCAUUCCUUUGUAUCUUAGUGCAUAACAUCACUGAGAGUACAUAUCUUUCAGCAGUCUAUGAUGACAAAGCUCAGGCAACUCAGGGAAACACAGAAAACAAAAUUAGAAAUAAGGACUUGAAAACACAGCUGGAGAUACCCAGAGAUGGAUGCAUCUAAGAGCCAGAGAAGAAAUGUGACAUAUGCAAAUGGAAAACAGUUUAAGCUGUUCUUCUGCGACUGUUUGACUUGGACUUUGUGAAUUGCUAUUAUUUUCCUUUAAAAGAGUUUUAGGAAAAAAUUUUGAUGCUUAAUAAGCUAGUUCACAAUAAUCAUAUGACUAAAGUUGCAUAUAGAAGGUGCAGGAAACACGGAUGUGAUUUACUCAUCUAAAUUAGUGCUUGACUAAUCAUGUCACGAAGAAAUUAAGAUUUCUGAUACUACACUUAAUCUUAUAUUCAUCAGGAAUGUUUUGAGUCAGCUGAUUUGUUUUUACUUAAACAGGAGAGACUUUAUGGAAAGAUAAUAAAUGAAUUUUAAUUAAAAUUUAAAAAAUAAACUCUUGUUUUGCAGAAGAAAUACAAGAGAUUCUGUGAGCAGCCUUCUCUACAGAAAGAUGGACUUCUAUCUCAGAGCUGUUAAAUAAGAGAAAAAUUAGGAUUAGUCCCAUCAGUUCUCAACACUAAAAUAAUGCCUAAUAAUACCUCAUUUUCCAGUGAUAAUUUUUGCUCUGUAUUUGCCAAACAGCUCAACAAGAAAUGUUCCCAUCUCCAACCAGUAGAAAUUAAUACCAGAGACAGAAAUCCUAUCACUGAAGCCAUGGAGGAAGACACACACUCCAGUCCUGACCAUUGAACCACUGUGGUUUAAUUAUGCAAAAUGGGGGUUGAAGAUUCAAGAUAUUGCUCAGAUUGUUCUGCAAUAAACUCUUCUGAUUCAGCAGUGUCAGCAGGAAGGAGUCCAUGAGUGCCAAACUAACUCCAUCUCUGCAGCCAGUAGGGCCAUCACAUGAAAGCAGGAUUCUUGCUUCUCAAUUACUCAGCUCUGUUGUCCAGGUCGAAGCAGCAGUUGAUGCUACACAGAAAGACAAGCCAAGGAGACCUUGCUCAGGUUUCCUUGCAAUCCAAAAAGAGAGCCCAAGUCACUAGCUUGGAGUAAUUUGAAGUUAAUCUUCCACUGAUAUCUUCAUGAGCAUCUCUGCUACACCCGUCAAGAAAAUUACCCCAACAAAGCCGUCCAAACAUGGUGUGUCUGUGAUUCCAUUUCCCUCUGGACUGUGGAGCUGGAUUCAUGUCACCAGGUCACUUGUGCUGUGUCCAGUCCAGUUGAACCCUCCAAAGAUGGAGAUUCUGCAAGUUCUGCUGAGUGCUGAUUGCUGCAAUGCAUGGUAAGAAAGCAAUCCAGGCAAAACUUUCUCCACUUUUCUGAGCACAAUAGGAAAUGUUCCAGUUCCUAUCAGAGGACGUUCUCACUUAACUUUCUGGGUUGAAUAUAAUACCUUUCAGGAAUCAGGCAACAGAACUUUGUAUCUGGGGGAUCUAACAGGUGUCUAGAGGUGUCUCCUCCAUUUAGGCUUGCAUGAGCCCACUGUGGAAGAGAUUACUUAAGUCGCUCAGGAUUCAAAAGUUAGCACAGUAAGUAAAAUCUUUCCAUUACUUUGUGAUUUAUGGCUGGUUUGUUCCCUUGUUUACAAAAUUAGUUGGGUUUUUUACCAGUUAAAUCUCUUGUAGACUUAUUGGGGAGGUGACAAAAAUCGGAGAUUUGUCACUAUCAUCAGUAUUUUAAAAUGGUCCCUUAAAAAGUGUGCAGUGAUUUGACUCAUAUCUUUUAACGAAUUCUGGAAGCUGUAACAUCACUGCUAGAACUAUUGGUAGCCCUUCUCAGUGUGCAAAUCCCCUGUGAGUUCACAGCUCCUGUGCAGACCACUGCAGAACUGGGUAGCAGAGCUUUUGCCUCAUCCCUCCUGACCUGUCCUGCGUCCUCCAGCUUCCAUCCCUCUUCCAUGCAGAGCUCAGGCCAGGACAGCCAAGGAAGCACUUUUACUUGCAGAAGAGAGGUCUGGAUCCAGACAGUGCUGGGAACCUCUUGUUCCACCUUCCUGGGAUACCAGGGCAGCACCAGAAUUCAAGUGCCGAGGGCUCAACAGGUGGUGCUGGGAUAAAGUUCUGGCAAAUCAAAUAGUAUGAAGAUACCUGGGAACAAGAAGAUAUUUACUGAGAAUAAAGAUCCCAGUUCAACAUGACACUCUUCACAAUUCCACACUUGGACUGACCCUGUUCCAUCUUGGUUAACCCAGGAAAGCUGCACCCAGUUGUCUUAGGAGUUAAACUGUAGCUUCGCUGCAAGGGACUGGCUCCGAAGGCCCAGAAGGUUUAAAUAGCCUCAUAGAAGCAUGAGGGCUCCAGCUUUUCUCUGUGAUUCACCCAGUCUGGACAUCAGAGAGGACCGAAGUCAAGAGGUUCAGACAGAAAAUACUAAUGGAUAAACUGUUAUAAAUGAGACUUCACAGUGACAUAUUAGAGAAUCAUAUGUUGUAAACUGAAAAGAGUAGGAGGGGAUUCAGCACAUGGCAGAAAAAUGCAUGCUUAUGUGAAGAGAAGCUCCAAAGCUCUUCAGUUACCACACGGAGCGCAGGAGUCAGAGCUGCCAUGGCACCGUAAUGGAAAUAAACGAGCCCGCAGCGCCGGCAGCGGGAGGUGGGAGUGGGAAGCAUCCUCAUCCCAGCCCCAGCGGCCGCGUAAAUCUGUCCCUGUCAGGAGAGCUCCGGGAGCUGCUCGGCACCCGCCGCUCCCCGGGAGUCAGUGAGAGUUCAGGUGCUUACUGUGUCAUCAGGCCUGACCUUCAGAUGCGACAUGGCCAGCACGUUUGUUUUCCCACAGCAGUGAUUGCUUCAGUCAGUUAUUAUUGCCCAUCCUGCAGUGCAAACACAUAAGGACUUGAUUUACAGUGCAAAAUAUACAUCCUGAAUUUACUUCCUCUUUUGUUUUUGGUCUGCCAUAGCAUCUCCAGCUUAAAGGGAUGACAGCAAAUUACUUCAUAGGUAAAUAUAUCUACAUAUGAGGAAGGAUAAAUAUCAGUCAUUCAGGGCAUCCUGAGAUGAACGCUCCAUUAUAGCGUUGGAUGUGUUGCAUCAGAUGUGAUAAUAUAUUUAAAGGGGUUUGCAUUUUGUUUUAAAAGUGCUUUUUUUUUUUCUGCUCCUACCUGAAAAAAAAUCAUUAGCAAAUUUGUUGAUUUGGCAAUCUAACCAUUAAAUCCAGUUUAGCUCAGAUUUAAGAUUGUACAUUCAGUUCUUUAAGCAAUGUUUAGGUAUUACCAAUAUACUGAAAGAUAGAUGAGACAGCCUCAUGGUAAUACAGCUUUUAACCUUUCCUCUCCUCUACCAUGACGGGGGAGAAUUACAGUAAAUGAUGGUUACCUUGUCUGCAGUAUGGACAAUUGAUUUGACCUCACUGCAUCUGAUGCUCUAAUGGACUUCGUGGCUGAAUCCCUGGAGAUAUAAAAUAUGUCCAAGUGAAUUGGGGCAGGUUAAAGAACGGACCUGCUUUUCAUGGCUGGUUCAAGCUGUAAUAGAUCUCCUGGUUGUUCUGAGAAGAAGAUUAAAAAUGAUCAAUAUCCAAAUCAUUAAAAGGAAAGUGGUGGCUUCUGUAAA